UGGGUGCCGAGGGCGCCCAGGGCCGUGGCUGUGGUGUCAUUGCCGCAGCCCCUCUUGCCCGCUGGUCGCCCGGGUGUCUGUUGUGGGUGUGCUGGGUGCCAGCAGAGGGCACACAGUCGGGCUGGGCCUGGCCCUUGGGUUCUUCAGGGACUCUGACCACGUGGUUGGUGUGAGUCUCUUGAGGAUGGCGCAGUGUUAGGGUGGAGAGGUGAGGUCACAGUAGGACCUAAACAGGUGGCCAGGGAGGGCUUCUCAGAGGGACAUUGAAUCCAGGCCUGGGGCAAAGGCCUAGAGGCAGGAGUGAGCCUGGUGGGUGUGCAGGGGAAGACCAGGGGACUCCUGGAGCAGCUGGCAUCUUUAACAGGGCGCAGAACUUUCUAGAACCAAACCCUGGCAGGCCCGUGGAGUGGGGACUGCAGAGCAGGUCAGGCUGCCCACGCGGUUGGGUCUGGAGGCUGGAGCCCAGUGCUCAGCCAAGCUCCCUUGCCGGGGAGUGGCCUCACACCGCAGGGCCCCCGCGCCGGCCCUGCUCCCUUGUGCAGGCAGUAAGGGCUGUCUCCGCCGUCCCUCUGCUCAGCCCGAGGGAGGGGGAGCCAGUGUUUUUGGUCCCGCGGCAGCUGACACCCGGGUCUGGCACAGUCCGUGGGCUCGCUGGGUUCUUAAGUGAGCUGAGCCAGCCCUGUCACCUCAUUUCCCGGACACCCGGGUCCUUGGUGCCCCGCAGGCCUGAGCCUGGGCUUGGUGUCCGGGGGAUGCCCCCCGUGGGUGAGGGACUGUCCCUUUGCGGUCCUCUUCCCCAGGAUGUGGCGCUACCCCGGAAUCCUGGCUGCCCCCAUUUCCCGUGCGCCUCAUGUUUCUGGCGGGUCCUGCGCAGAUCUGGCGGCCUUCCCCGGGCAGAUCGUGCCCACCACGGGGAAGACCGUGGCCUUGGGCCUAGGUUGUGGUUCCCAGGCUCUGAGCCCAGCACCGUCCUCCCCCAGUGGAACUCGGGGUGAACGCUCCAGGCCCUUCUCUGGCAUAGUCGGGUGCCCCUCUGCUGUGGGCACGGGAGGAGACCGCGGGGUCCUGGCUGUCACCGGCCGCUGGUGCUGGGCAAGCCCUGGAGGGUGCCUGCGGACUGGGCACAGGCUCUCCUGGCCCUCGGGCUCCGGCAGCUAUCGCGGGUCGGGUCGCGCUCGCACGGAGAAACUAGCGUAUGGGUACCGUCGAGAGUGACCCAGCCGUUGGACUUCCUGCUGUCCCCGGGGCGCCCGGAGAUGUUCAUCGCGGACGGUCGGAACCCGAAACUCGCAGGCGCGGAGUCCUGCUCGCCAGGUACUCGUAACCCUGGUCCGGCGCGCUGCAUCCUGGGAGUUGUAGUUUUCGAAGGCGGGUAGAAGUAAGUGCGUGUUCGGGUAGGCGGUGCCGCCGGGCGGGGCGCGUACCUAUUGGAUGGAGACUGGCGUGCACCGCCCCCUGCUUUUGCACACCGCCCGCUCCGCCUCCCAACGACGCGUCGAGAGCCGCGAUGGGUAAUACCCGGACGCGCGUCAGCGAUUGGUGGGAAGGCGGGGUUGAGGCGCGCGGCCGCCCGCGGAUUGGCGGGACGUGACGGGGGCAGGACCGCGCAUGCACUAAAGCGGCGGCGGCGGGCCGGGUGGGGGUUGCGCCAAGAUGUCGACGGCGGCGGUGCCGGAGUUGAAGCAGAUCAGCCGGGAGGAGGCGAUGCGCCUGGGGCCAGGCUGGAGCCACUCGUGCCACGCCAUGCUGUACGCAGCUAACCCCGGGCAGCUGUUCGGCCGCAUCCCCAUGCGCUUCUCGGUGCUGAUGCAGAUGCGCUUCGACGGGCUGCUGGGCUUCCCCGGGGGCUUCGUGGACCGGCGCUUCUGGUCGCUGGAGGACGGCCUGAACCGGGUGCUGGGCCUGGGCCUGGGCUGCCUGCGCCUCACCGAGGCCGACUACCUGAGCUCGCACCUGACCGAGGGCCCGCACCGCGUCGUGGCGCACCUGUACGCGCGGCAGCUGACGCUGGAGCAGCUGCACGCCGUGGAGAUCAGCGCGGUGCACUCGCGCGACCACGGCCUGGAGGUGGGGCCGCCGCCCGGGCCCCGUCCUCCGCCCUGGGGUUUGGCUCUGGCCCCGCGGAAGGCACCGAUGGGUGCUGGGCCUUGUGCGCGUGCCGCUGUACACGCAGAAGGACCGCGUCGGCGGCUUCCCCAACUUCCUGAGCAACGCCUUCGUCAGCACCGCCAAGUGCCAGCUCCUCUUCGCCCUCAAGGUGCUCAACAUGAUGCCGCAGGAGAAGCUGGCUGAGGCCCUGGCCGCCGCCACGGAGAAGCAGAAGAAGGCCCUGGAGAAGCUGCUGCCUGCCUCCUCCUGAGGCUGCAAGCACCUGCCGGGGGAUGGACUGGAAGCACAGGCUUCGUGGCAGAGCCAGCGCACAGGAGGCCACCACGGGCAGUCCCCUGCGGCCACGCCUAGGAGGACUCCCAUGGUGCCGUGGGAGUCUCCACAGCCGGGCCCAAGGAAGGUGGUGCUGCUGGCUCCACCGCAGAGCUCAAGGAGGCCGAGCGUGGGAGUGGCACUUUGCUAUGGAAAUAAAUCCCUGUACCUUG